GACGAACGCUGGCGGCGUGCUUAACACAUGCAAGUCGAACGGAAAGGCCCUGCUUGCAGGGUACUCGAGUGGCGAACGGGUGAGUAACACGUGGGUGAUCUGCCCUGCACUUCGUGAUAAGCCUGGGAAACUGGGUCUAAUACCGGAUAGGAGCCAUUUUUAGUGUGAUGGUUGGAAAGUUUUUUCGGUGUAGGAUGAGCUCGCGGCCUAUCAGCUUGUUGGUGGGGUAAUGGCCUACCAAGGCGGCGACGGGUAGCCGGCCUGAGAGGGUGGACGGCCACAUUGGGACUGAGAUACGGCCCAGACUCCUACGGGAGGCAGCAGUGGGGAAUAUUGCACAAUGGGCGCAAGCCUGAUGCAGCGACGCCGCGUGGGGGAUGACGGCCUUCGGGUUGUAAACUCCUUUCGCUAGGGACGAAGCUUUUUGUGACGGUACCUAGAUAAGAAGCACCGGCUAACUACGUG
rnacentral:rRNA from 1 species